GGGGCUGCCUGGUUUGUGAACUCAAAGAGCCACGACGUGCCCGGGGACGGGAGGCUAGUGCACCAGCUGAGCACACAAGCAGCCUGAGCAGGGCCCGGCUGGGUCCAGGUACAGGACACGCAGGAGGGGCUGAAGAGCGGGGUGAGCGAUGGCAGGAGCCGAGGAGAAAACCCUGAAGUUGGCUUGUGCCCGCUGGGAAAGGAGCUGAAGGCAGCUCCCACCAUAGUGCUCUGAAGUCAAUGGACAAAGACCGCUGUUCCACACUCUUGUGCUUCAGGAACUAGUAGGAGUGCCAAGUGUGCCAAUUCUGCUGCUAAUUAAGGAUAAUGCAUAGAGAGGUGCACGAAGCUCAAGAUGCAGUUACAAAUGAGCCUACAAAAGAAGUCAUGUUACAAAGAAACACAUACAGAAACUGAAAGAACAUGUUGACACAAACUGCCUAAUAAUCUGGAUCAAGUAGAACAGUGUUAUCUAGUGGCUAGAACAAGGGAAUGAUUGUAAUACCAAAAUUCUCUUCCAAGAUCUACCCCUGAAUCUUUGCAUAAACAAUGGCAUGUUAUUUAAUUGUUCUGUGAAUCCCUAUGUCACUUAACAUGAUGCUUCCUUUAAAAAAAAAAUAAUAAAAAAAGACAAGGAUGGUAAUACAUACCAACCUUUGUGAAGCACUUUGUGAUGUUUAAA